GAAAAUAGGAGCCCUCACAUUCUUCUUUCUUGUAUUGAAGCAAAAGAGGCCCAGAGGACUGCCAGAGAGGUUCAGAGGAGAACAACUGCUAACUCAGGUGGCAGAGAGGAGAAGCAGCUGGACAUCGGAGACUAUGGCUGGACAUUGGAGAGAAGUGGUUUGACUUCAGAGGGACAGCUUGACAGUGAAGAAUUCGGCCAGAGAUAGCUGGACUUCAGGGGAAGAUGAUCUUUCCGCCUCAUCCCCCUUUCAGCUCCCCUUCCUGCUGAGAGACACUUUAAUCGGCAAUAAAAUCCCCCAUGUUUACCAUCCUUCAAUUCGUUUGUGUGACCUCAUUUCUCCUGGAUGCUGG
rnacentral:lncRNA from 1 species